rnacentral:rRNA from 1 species
AGAGUUUGAUCCUGGCUCAGGAUGAACGCUAGCGGCAGGCUUAACACAUGCAAGUCGAGGGGCAGCGGGGAGGAAGCUUGCUUUCUCCGCCGGCGACCGGCGCACGGGUGAGUAACACGUAUGCAACCUGCCCCUGUCAGGGGGACAACCCGCCGAAAGGCGGGCUAAACCCGCGUACAUGCCACCGGGGCAUCCCGGAGGCAGGAAAGGCUUCGGCCGGACAGGGAUGGGCAUGCGGCGCAUUAGGCAGUAGGCGGGGUAACGGCCCACCUAACCGACGAUGCGUAGGGGUUCUGAGAGGAAGGUCCCCCACACUGGUACUGAGACACGGACCAGACUCCUACGGGAGGCAGCAGUGAGGAAUAUUGGUCAAUGGUCGGGAGACUGAACCAGCCAAGCCGCGUGAGGGAGGAAGGUACAGAGUAUCGUAAACCUCUUUUGUCAGGGAACAAAGGCGGGGACGUGUCCCCGGAUGAGUGUACCUGAAGAAAAAGCAUCGGCUAACUCCGUGCCAGCAGUCGCGGUAAUACGGAGGAUGCGAGCGUUAUCCGGAUUUAUUGGGUUUAAAGGGUGCGCAGGCGGUCUGUUAAGUCAGCGGUCAAAGCCCGGGGCUCAACCCCGGCCCGCCGUUGAAACUGGCAGUCUCGAGUUGGAGAGAAGUAUGCGGAAUGCGCGGUGUAGCGGUGAAAUGCAUAGAUAUCGCGCAGAACUCCGAUUGCGAAGGCAGCAUGCCGGCUCCACACUGACGCUGAGGCACGAAAGCGUGGGUAUCGAACAGGAUUAGAUACCCUGGUAGUCCACGCAGUAAACGAUGAAUGCUGGCUGUCCGGGGGGAUUGACCCCUGGGUGGCGAAGCGAAAGCGAUAAGCAUUCCACCUGGGGAGUACGCCGGCAACGGUGAAACUCAAAGGAAUUGACGGGGGCCCGCACAAGCGGAGGAACAUGUGGUUUAAUUCGAUGAUACGCGAGGAACCUUACCCGGGCUCAAACGGGGAGUGACUCAGGCAGAGACGCCUGUUUCCCACGGGACACUCCCCGAGGUGCUGCAUGGUUGUCGUCAGCUCGUGCCGUGAGGUGUCGGCUUAAGUGCCAUAACGAGCGCAACCCCCGCGUGCAGUUGCUAACAGAUAACGCUGAGGACUCUGCACGGACUGCCGGCGCAAGCCGCGAGGAAGGCGGGGAUGACGUCAAAUCAGCACGGCCCUUACGUCCGGGGCGACACACGUGUUACAAUGGGUGGUACAGCGGGAAGCCAGGCGGCGACGCCGAGCGGAACCCGAAAUCCACUCUCAGUUCGGAUCGGAGUCUGCAACCCGACUCCGUGAAGCUGGAUUCGCUAGUAAUCUCGCAUCAGCCAUGGCGCGGUGAAUACGUUCCCGGGCCUUGCACUCACAGCCCGUCAAG